GUGUAGUGUCUGUACAGCUCCCAUUACAGACUCUGUAGCCUUAGACCUCCGGACCUCCGCUGACUGUAUCAGCUGUCUAUCAGACCUGUGUGUGAUGCUGCAGCUGCUGAGCAAACAGCCUGACAAGGUGGCCUUUGGUGAUUAUACAGUAUAUUUAAGCUUGAUUCUCAAGUGGCUGGAGGAGGACCAGCAUGACACCACAAAGCCAUUUUGAAGGACCUGGGAAUGAAAUCAGAAAAGAAAAAAAAGAAGAUGGAGUGGAUACUAACAUGG